rnacentral:rRNA from 1 species
UACGGGGGGGGCAAGCGUUGUUCGGAAUUACUGGGCGUAAAGGGCUCGUAGGCGGCCAACUAAGUCGGACGUGAAAUCCCUCGGCUUAACCGGGGAACUGCGUCCGAUACUGGAUGGCUUGAGUUUGGGAGAGGGAUGCGGAAUUCCAGGUGUAGCGGUGAAAUGCGUAGAUAUCUGGAGGAAUACCGGUGGCGAAGGCGGCAUCCUGGACCGGCAUUGACGCUGAUGAGCGAAAGCUAGGGGAGCAAACGGG